GAGCCUCCAGGAGGUGGAAACUGGACAAAGUCCUCAGGUCACUGAAGGGUCUGCUUAGGAAAAGAUUAAUGCUGUUCUGAAGAGAUCCCUGGAGUUUUAUGAGUGUUGUCAUCAGAGAAGAGCUGAUGCUGGCAACAUGCCAUGGAAUCUGCUGAAUUCCAGGAGGCCCUGACCUUACCACCACGAGCAUGUGUGAAUUCCCACACCACAAAGAUUUUGUUCUUCCGUUGGUCACCAUCUCUAAUCUGUAGUUUCCUCCAAUUCCCAACUGGACAGUUUGAACUGUAUUGUUGGUCUUUGAGACUGUUUGCACAGAAUAAUGUGAAGAGUUUAAGAAAACACAUGACACUGGAUUGGGUCCAGUAGCAGCAAGUAUGAGACUCUGGGCACAGACAAUUUUGUCUUCUGGAAGCACCUCAAUGGGUAAUGGUAGCAUUGUUGCCAAGUCAUUGAUCACAAAUGGAAUGUUGAGCUAGGAAUGGAGGCCAGUGACUCUUAGCAAGUGCCUUGAGUUUUCACAUCUGGGCUGAACGCAACAUCUGGAAAGGGGAACGUUCUCAAUAACGGGAAAGGAGACAAUGGCUGCCUGCUUUCCUACUCAUCCCAGAGGCACAAUUCUUCCACCUGUUUUUCUGAAAAACAAGAGUCAUCCAUGAGCAUGGUACCUGCAAGUGAUGGUGUCAAAUAUGAAGAAGUAUACAGUUACUCCCUAUCUGUGGUUGGAG
ensembl:lncRNA